ACCUGAAAUGUUGAUUAUCCAUCUUCAGACUAACUUCCCUGCGCCCUGCCCGGUGCGUAAAGCUCAGACUUUGUGCGGAUGAAGCUGCAAAGUUUCCAGGCUGAGCUCCAAACCAGGACGGCUGUCUCUGAGUUUCAGAAAAAAGCCCCGCAGAUGUCCCGCAGAUGUCCCGCAGAUGUCCCGCUGCUGCUGCGCGCUCUGACACUGAAGGUAUAAUCAGCAUCGGACAAACACCAGAGACGAACUGCAGCAUUAAAACAACACAUCAAAGUGUAUUUACUGUCUGUUUAGUGUAAUAUGUGUUGAUACUGUGCAAAGAUACAGCAGAUGAUAUUACAUUAUUAUUGAACUGGUAAGAGAAACAUUAAAUCAUUUACUGUCUGGGUCCUGUUGUCUUUGAUAUAGAUGCAUCAUUCUGGAUAUAAUAGACAAUAUAAUAAACGAAUAAAAGUUUGAAUCGUCUGGAUGUCUGUCUUUCUGUUCUUCAUCAGGCCUGGAAACUCGCU